rnacentral:rRNA from 1 species
ACUCAUGUUCAACGGCCGCGGUAUUCUGACCGUGCAAAGGUAGCACAAUCACUUGUCCCUUAAAUAGGGGCUCGUAUGAAUGGCAUCACGAGGACUAAACUGUCUCCCUCUUCUAAUCAGUGAAACUAAUCCCCCUGUGAAAAAGCAGGGAUAACUAUAUAAGACGAGAAGACCCUAUGGAGCUUUAAACCAAAUAGCAUCUGCCUAUCUUUCUCCAUGAAGUUAACACUACUGCACUCUGUCUAUAAGGUUUUUGGUUGGGGUGACCAUGGAGAAAAACUCAUCCUCCAUACUGAAACAAGCCUAAAGCUACAACUUCACGAAUCAACAAAUUGACACAAUUGACCCAAACAUUUGACCAACGAACCAAGUUACCCUAGGGAUAACAGCGCCAUCCACCUUGAGAGUACAUAUCGACAGGUGGGCUUACGACCUCGAUGUUGGAUCAGGGUACCCCAGUGGUGCAGCCGCUACUAAAGGUUCGUUUGUUCAACGAU